rnacentral:piRNA from 1 species
UUAUCUCUACAUGACAUUUCUCACUUUGGGGU